rnacentral:rRNA from 1 species
GAAUCUUCCGCAAUGGACGAAAGUCUGACGGAGCAACGCCGCGUGAGUGAAGAAGGUUUUCGGAUCGUAAAACUCUGUUGUCGGGGAGGAACAAGUGGGAGCCUAACUACUCUCACCUUGACGGUACCCGACCAGCAAGCCACGGCUAACUACGUGCCAGCAGCCGCGGUAAUACGUAGGUGGCAAGCGUUGUCCGGAUUUAUUGGGCGUAAAGCGAGCGCAGGUGGUUCUUUAAGUCUGAUGUGAAAGCCCACGGCUCAACCGUGGAGGGUCAUUGGAAACUGGAGAACUUGAGUGCAGAAGAGGAAAGCGGAAUUCCACGUGUAGCGGUGAAAUGCGUAGAGAUGUGGAGGAACACCAGUGGCGAAGGCGGCUUUCUGGUCUGUAACUGACGCUGAGGCGCGAAAGCGUGGGGAGCAAACAGG